rnacentral:rRNA from 1 species
GACGAACGCUGGCGGCGUGCUUAACACAUGCAAGUCGAACGAUGAACCCGGAGCUUGCUCCGGUGGAUUAGUGGCGAACGGGUGAGUAACACGUGAGUAACCUGCCCUUGACUCUGGGAUAACUGCGGGAAACUGUAGCUAAUACCGGAUACGACCCUCGGCGGCAUCGCCAGGGGGUGGAAAGAAUUUCGGUCAAGGAUGGACUCGCGGCCUAUCAGCUAGUUGGUGAGGUAACGGCUCACCAAGGCGACGACGGGUAGCCGGCCUGAGAGGGUGACCGGCCACACUGGGACUGAGACACGGCCCAGACUCCUACGGGAGGCAGCAGUGGGGAAUAUUGCACAAUGGGCGCAAGCCUGAUGCAGCGACGCCGCGUGAGGGAUGACGGCCUUCGGGUUGUAAACCUCUUAUAGUAGGGAAGAAGCGAAAGUGACGGUACCUGCAGAAAAAGCACCGGCUAACUACGUGCCAGCCGCCGCAGUAA